GACGAACGCUGGCGGCGUGCUUAACACAUGCAAGUCGAACGGUGAAGCGCCUUCCUUUUUGGUGGGUGUGGAUGAGUGGCGAACGGGUGAGUAACACGUGAGUAACCUGCCCCCUUCUUCUGGAUAACCGCAUGAAAGUGUGGCUAAUACGGGAUAUUCUGGGUCUGUCGCAUGAUGGGUCUGGGAAAGAUAUUGUUUCGGUGGGGGAUGGGCUCGCGGCCUAUCAGCUUGUUGGUGGGGUGAUGGCCUACGAAGGCGGGGACGGGUAGCCGGCGUGAGAGGGUGGACGGCCUCACUGGGACUGAGGCACGGCCGAGACUCCUACGGGAGGCAGCAGUGGGGAAUAUUGCACAAUGGGGGAAAGCCUGAUGCAGCGGCGCCGCGGGAGGGAUGGAGGCCUUCGGGUUGUGAACCUCUUUCGCCAGUGAAGCAGGCCUGCCUCGUUUGUGGGUGGGUUGACGGUAGCUGGAUAAGAAGCGCCGGCUAACUACGUG
rnacentral:rRNA from 1 species